rnacentral:rRNA from 1 species
UACGUAGGUGGCUAACGUUGUCCGGAUUUACUGGGCGUAAAGAGCGCGCAGGCGGUCGCUCAAGUCGCGUGUGAAAGCCCCCGGCUCAACUGGGGAGGGUCACGCGAUACUGAUCGACUGGAAGGCAGGAGAGGGUAGUGGAAUUCCCGGUGUAGUGGUGAAAUGCGCAGAUAUCAGGAGGAACACCGGUGGCGAAGGCGGGUCUCUGGGCCGAUACUGACGCUGAGGAGCGAAAGCGUGGGGAGCGAACAGG